GGUACCAUAGCUCAGUUGGUAGAGCACAGGACUGAAAAUCCUGGUGUCGCUAGUUCGAUUCUAGCUGGUACCA
rnacentral:tRNA from 1 species